UACGUAGGGUGCAAGCGUUUGUCCGGAAUUAUUGGGCGUAAAGAGCUCGUAGGCGGUUUGUCGCGUCUGCUGUGAAAACCCGAGGCUCAACCUCGGGCCUGCAGUGGGUACGGGCAGACUAGAGUGCGGUAGGGGGAGAUUGGAAUUCCUGGUGUAGCGGUGGAAUGCGCAGAUAUCAGGAGGAACACCGAUGGCGAAGGCAGAUCUCUGGGGCCGUAACUGACGCUGAGGAGCGAAAAGCAUGGGGAGCGAACAGG
rnacentral:rRNA from 1 species